AACGAACGCUGGCGGCGUGGAUUAGGCAUGCAAGUCGAACGAGAUCCGGUGUGUAGCAAUAUAUGCCGGUGAAAGUGGCGGAAGGGUGAGGAACGCGUGGGUAAUCUGCCCUUAAGUUGGGGAUAGCUCUGCGAAAGCGGAAUUAAUACCGAAUGUGGUCGUCCCGGGCAUCCGGGACUAUCUGAAGCCGGGGAUCCGCAAGGAUCUGGCGCUUAAGGAUGAACCCGCGUCCUAUCAGCUUGUUGGUGAGGUAACGGCUCACCAAGGCUUACGGGUAGCUGGUCUGAGAGGAUGGUCAGCCACACUGGGACUGAGACACUGCCCAGACUCCUACGGGUGGCAG
rnacentral:rRNA from 1 species